rnacentral:lncRNA from 1 species
CGUCUGGGUGUGUGGGAACAAUGAGGAAACUCCAAAAAUGAGUUGUUGAAUUGCAGUGGGUGUAGUAGCUUUUCCAUGGAGAGAGUGGUUAGCUUUUUCCCUCAAGAGGUGGGGACGUAUCUCUUUUGCUUUUGUCUCCUGGUACAAUAGCCGCCAAGUUUUCAUUUAGUAUUGUUAUUCUCUCUGACAAGUGACAACCAUGAUCAAUAAUAAAACAUUCAUAGCGUCCCCGUAAUUGAGUAUUUUAAGUGAGUUUUUAGACUAAAUAAUUUCAUAUAUUUAAUACAAUUAUUUAAACUUCUAUUAUUUUUAAAUGAUCACUGUAAAUUUGUUUAUAUCUCAUAAUGUAGUUUUUUCUUCUUCAUUUUCCUUAUUUACUCUUGAAAUACUAUUCUCUAUAUCAGAUAUAUUCUUCCAUUAAUUGAUAUAUUUUCUCUGCUAACAUUGUUUUGAAUAAUCUACAUAUAUAGUAGUAUGAUUUCAAAUAUCACUAAAGUCAUGACUAUAAUUUCGUAAAUGGUAACUAGAAAGUAAAUCUGUGACUGUGAACAAUGAUGGAUAAGUGUAUAAUGAUUACUGAUUAUGGAGCACCGUGCGUAACGUGCAAGGCUGCUGCAAGCCUUUUAUAACAGUUAAUCAUCGUUCCUUAUUUAAACAUAUAUGUACUUUUCAUGAUCUAGAGAUCACAAACCCAAAAAAAAAAACACAGAGAGAAUAAAAAAAAAAUGGAAAAGCAAGAUAUCAUCUUCGUACCUUCUCCAGGCGCUGGCCAUCUUCUUGUUUCCAUCGAAUUCGCCAAGUCUCUCAUCAAACGCGAUAACCGCAUUCACACCAUCACCAUCCUCCACUGGACGCUACCUUUCGUUCCUCAAUCCAAAAACUCAGCUAAAUCUCUUCUCGCU